GCCGGCGUGGUGGAAUGGCAGACACGGUAGACUCAAAAUCUACUGAGGGCGACCUCGUGAGAGUUCAAGUCUCUCCGCCGGCA
rnacentral:tRNA from 1 species